rnacentral:rRNA from 1 species
AAAGGGUGUAGAUGUUGAUUAUCCCAGGCAAAUCCGGGAUAAGAGUCGAACCUGACAGUAUACCAAUUUCCUCGGAAAACGGUAAUAGUGCGUGUAAACAUACUCCCAAGAAAAUCCGCUAAACUUAAUCUUAUAGGUACCCGUACCGUAAACGGACACACGUAGUCGGGUUGAAUAUACUCAGGCGCUUGAGUGAAUCACGGUUAAGGAACUAGGCAAAUUGACCCUGUAACUUCGGGAUAAAGGGUCCCUACCCGGUGACGGGAGGGCGCAGAGAAUAGGUCCAGGCAACUGUUUAACAAAAACACAGGGCUGUGCAAAAUUGAAAGAUCACGUAUACAGCCUGACACCUGCCCGGUGCUGGAAGGUUAAGAGGAGAUGUCAUCGCAAGAGAAGCAUUGAA